rnacentral:rRNA from 1 species
GAGUCUAAAGAUCUCAACAAUACACUUUCUCAGCAAAAGGAGCGCUGGUUAACUCCGCGCCCGCAGUGGGUAUUAUGUGGGGGUGCAAGCUUUUUAUCGGAUUUAUUGGGAGUAAAAGCCAAGCAGGUCGUUUAGACAGUUGGAUGUAAAAUCCCCGGGCUCAACCGGGGGAAUGCAUUAGAAACUGGCCAUCUAAAGUUUUUGAGAGGGAGGGUGAAUUCCCGGUGGAGCGGUAAAAUGCGUAGAUAUUCGGAGGAACACCAGUGGGGAAGGGGGCCCCCUGGACAAAAACUGACGUUCAGGGUGGAAAGGGGGGGGAGCAAACAGG